rnacentral:lncRNA from 1 species
UUUUAAUAUUAUAUGCUUUGAAACAUGGGAAAGAGAAUAACCUGUUUUAGGUUUGAUUUUUGGGUUUCUGUCUUUUAGUUGGAUUAUGGCUUUAAUAUGAAUUUUUAAAAUUCAUCGGAUUCGGAUUCAUAUUCGAAUUUGAUUGUCGGAUUUGGACUCGGAUUCGGAUUUUUGAAAAUCCUGUCCCAAACCCAAUUCAUCAACAUCCUUAGUUAUGAUGUAAAAUGCAACGUGAUAGUAUAAAAAGGUAAAUGUAGAACGAAAGUAUAAAGAGAUAUGAUCCUUCGUUUUUUAGUGAUAUUGUAAAAAAAAUAUAUCAUAAUCGGUUUAUUAUAAUAUAUGAAAUAUGAUAUUAUAUAUGAAAAUAAAUUUUUUAUUUUUUUACACAACGCAAUCUUUCGAAAAUUCUAAAUAAAGUCUU